rnacentral:rRNA from 1 species
CCCAAAAGAUCGAAUGAGGAGACUCAUCGUCAGCGGAAUUGGCUUCCAUGUGACGUGCGAUGUUUUGAGACGGCGCGUUCACGCGCGUUCGUUGAUUGCACGUCGUUACUGUGGUAUGAGUCCGAUUACGUCGGCGUGCACUUCUCCUCUAGUAGAACGUCGUGACCCGCUGGGUGUCGGUUUAAGGACCGAGAUUGUCGACUGUUCUGUGGCUUCGGCUUUACGGUAACAGACACUUGGAUUUCCGACCGGCUGCUCGGCGGUAUUAAUCAAGGUAUUGAGCCGCAUCGAAUAAUGCGUUCAGACUCGUCACAAGCCCGACCAUUUUUCUUCCUGGAUUACGGACCUAGUGCCGUAACUGGGAGUGGUUAGCUGUUGGUUGAUGAUGUUCUCGAACCGGCUUACAUUGAAAACAACGAUACCGGUCGACGACGCUAUUGCUUUGGGUACUCUCGGGA